rnacentral:rRNA from 1 species
GAUGAACGCUGGCGGCGUGCCUAAUACAUGCCAGUCGAGCGAACAGAUGAGGAGCUUGCUCCUCUGACGUUAGCGGCGGACGGGUGAGUAACACGUGGAUAACCUACCUAUAAGACUGGGAUAACUUCGGGAAACCGGAGCUAAUACCGGGUAAUAUAUUUAACCGCAUGGUUCAAUAGUGAAAGACGGUUUUGCUGUCACUUAUAGAUGGAUCCGCGCCGCAUUAGCUAGUUGGUAAGGUAACGGCUUACCAAGGCAACGAUGCGUAGCCGACCUGAGAGGGUGAUCGGCCACACUGGAACUGAGACACGGUCCAGACUCCUACGGGAGGCAGCAGUAGGGAAUCUUCCGCAAUGGGCGAAAGCCUGACGGAGCAACGCCGCGUGAGUGAUGAAGGUCUUCGGAUCGUAAAACUCUGUUAUUAGGGAAGAACAAAUGUGUAAGAAACUAUGCACGUCUUGACGGUACCUAAUCAGAAAGCCACGGCUAACUACGUG